UACGUAGGGUGCAGGCGUUAAUCGGAAUUACUGGGCGUAAAGCGUGCGCAGGCGGUUUGCUAAGACAGGUGUGAAAUCCCCGGGCUCAACCUGGGAAUUGCAUUCGAUACUGGAUAGCUAGAGUUCGGCAGAGGGAAGCGGAAUUCCCGGUGUAGCGGUGAAAUGCGUAGAUAUCGGAAGGAACAUCAGUGGCGAAAGCGGCUUCCUGGACCAGAACUGACGAUCAGGCACGAAAGCGUGGGGAGCAAACAGG
rnacentral:rRNA from 1 species